UGAAUGCAGAUAAGAGACUCCCAACAGCGUUGGCAUGUGGCAACACUUGGCUGCGGACAGACGUCCCCGAGCGACGUAGCGGUGUGGGGAAAAGACAUCUCCACCCUCCCUUGUCUGGGCUGCCACCUCCUGGCUUCUGAGGGACGUCCUGGCCCCUUCAGUCCAAAUGAGCUCAACUAGUGCCAGCAAAACUAAGAAAUUCUUACUGAGAGACUCCUGGAAGGAGGAAAGAGGGACAUUUUGAAGGAGGUGGAGGCUGCAGCCAGCACUCCAUGGUGCAGAUGGUUCACAAGCCACAUCUGGGGAUGCCCCACAACAGUGAGCCUGACUCCUGAAGACCAUAAAACAUUGCCACUGGCAGGCUCUUUGUACAAAACCUGGCUUUUCAUAUGAGUAAAACCUCAGCUACACUGGUGUGCAAAGACCUUGCCGUCUGUGUGUUCAGGAAAAAUGAAUUCCACCUGUGACAGGGGAAAGGUCUGCCAGAGCAGAAGAUCCAGGCAAGCUGACUAUCAGAAGGGGACAGAAGGCUGCUCUGGUGCAGCUUGCUUGUAUCAGCAGUGAAAGCAAGCAACUUCACAUAAGGAGCAGGCAAGAGAUGAUAACUUUCUCAUGGUCAACCUGCAAAUUACUGAUCUAUAGUCUAUUACACUGAAAGAAGAAUGCUGUAGCAUUCUGCAUUAAAGUUGCACUAAUAUAGCUCUAUCUUUCCUAAUCCGUCAGGUAGAAAAGCAUUGCU